rnacentral:rRNA from 1 species
AAGCGUGCGCAGGCGGUUUUGUAAGACUGUCGUGAAAUCCCCGGGCUCAACCUGGGAAUGGCGAUGGUGACUGCAAGGCUAGAGUUUGGCAGGAGGGGGGUAGAAUUCCACGUGUAGCAGUGAAAUGCGUAGAUAUGUGGAGGAACACCGAUGGCGAAGGCAGCCCCCUGGGUCAAAACUGACGCUCAUGCACGAAAGCGUGGGGAGCAAACAGGAUUAGAUACCCUUGU